UCUGACCCCGGGGUUAAUCGUGUCUGGGGCCUUUGCUGCUGCCGCACUGAUCUCAGCUGCCUACUGUAGUCGAUCAGCUGCGCCUUCAGGGAGCAGACUCUCUCUGACUGUUCCUUCUCUUCCGAAAGGGAUAAUAUUUGUUGGGGUUCUAAUAGCCAUCUCUCAAAUCACCAAAUAUUAAUUAGCAAGUCUAGGAUGCUGUUCAACUGUGGGGGGCAUCGCCAUUUACCUUGAUCCUCUCCUUAGUGGCUGUCCCAUUGAGGAGCUGGACUGCAACUUCAAAUGUGAACACUCCAUUACUUUCCCAGUAAUGGGGACAGUGUGAACUUCUUGGUGCUGAAUUCUUUGACAGUUUGUUUGUUUAUUUAUUUAUUUCUCCCCCCCCCCCCCCCAGUUUCUGAGCUCAAAUGGAGGAGGUCGCCCAGGGUUCUGAGGGGGCAGCUGGAGAUGCAGUGACUACAGGGAGUAAGCACGAUGUCGCUCACACUUCAGGGAAGAUCCCAAUCUACACGAAAGCCUCUCUCCUUGACAGUGGGGAGGAUGUUGAGAUGAGCAACGAUGACACAGAUGAGGAGGACACAAGUGAACUCCCCUCUUUGGAAGACUUGGGACUUACUGAGGUCCAGAAUGCAGCUGAGGAAAAUUCCAAUACCAGCAUCAAGGAGAUGAACGAAGAGGCUAGAAGCAGGGCAGGAAAUGAGGACAGUCCACAGGAACCAGAUGACGAGUGGCUUCAGGUCCUGGGGAAUGGGCUGCUGAAGAAGAAGGUUCUGGUAGCUGGCCAGAGUCAGGAGCCAAGGCCACAGAAAGGUCAGAAUGUAACUGUGAGGCUGAAGAUGGCAUUGGAGGAUGGGACAGAGGUGGAGGAAGAUCCCAAUCGGUGUUUCACCGUGGGGGACGGUGACGUUAUCCAGGCAUUAGAUCUCUGUGUUCAGCUGAUGGAUCAGGACGAAGUUGCGUUAAUUAUCUCGGAUGCAAAGUAUGCUUACGGCAGUCUGGGCAGCUCCGAGCCCAGUGUGCCCUCAAAUGCCACUGUCCAUUUGGAGGUUCAGCUUCUGUCUGUGCGUGACAGCCCAGACUUGGAGUUGUUGUCAGGGAAGGAGAGACUGCUGCUGGCUAAUAAGAAACGAGAGCGAGGAAACGUGUAUUUCUUGCGCAGUGAAUAUGUCUUUGCAAUCAGCUCCUACGAUAUUGCUCUCAAUAUUGUCAACUCCAGCUCCAAAGUUGACUUUCUGGAGGGGGAAGAGGAGGAGUUGAUGAACGUGAAGGUGAAAUGUUUGAAUAAUCUGGCAGCUGCCCAGCUAAAGCUUGAACACUUUGAGGCAGCUCUGAAAUCCUCGAAUGCAGCCCUUCAGCACCAACCGAACAACGUCAAGGCCCUCUUCAGGAAAGGAAAGGUCCUGGCCUUGCAGGGUGAAUACACAGAGGCCAUUCCCGUCCUCCGGAAAGCUGCACAGCUUGAACCAUCAAAUAAGUUGCUGUUGCUGCUGCUCUGCAGGCGAUUCAAGCUGAACUCUCCCAGGUCGUGAGGAAGCAGUCAGAGCAGCGGACCACUGAGCAGGCCAUGUAUCGCAAGAUGCUCGGAGACAUAGCAUUGCCACCCCGCUGCCCACCAUCACCAUCAUCCUGGAGGAUUCCUUGGAAGUGGCUGUUUGGAGCAACUGUGGUUGCUGUCGGAGGUGUGGCUAUGUCAGUCAUCAUCGCUGCAAGAACCUGAUACUUAAUAGUCAGAGUAACACUCUUAAAGGGACAAGCCACAAACAAUUGCAGAAUUUCUCUAAUAUGUUCUCUUUUCCAAUUCAGAGCAUUCUGGACCUUCUAUUACUUCAGGUAUUGUAAAUAAAGUUAGAGGAAUUGAGCCAACCCAAUUCUUUCAUUCCAUUGAAAUUUAUUAACUUGGAACCCGUGACAGACUGCAGAUUUGUUUUGAUAGAUAGAUAGAUCUGUUUUGAUUUGACAUUAAUUUAUUUCUUGGAGGGGAGCAUGGAGCUUCCUACCAAGUGACAUUUAUCUAAAAAUGUUUAUAUAAUUAUAAUAAAAUGUUUUUAUUGAA